AUACGGAGGGUGCAAGCGUUAAUCGGAAUUACUGGGCGUAAAGCGCGCGUAGGCGGAUAUUUGAGUCUCAUGUGAAAGCCCUGGGCUCAACCUGGGAACUGCAUGGGAUACUGGGUAUCUAGAAUACAGUAGAGGGUAGUGGAAUUUCAGGUGUAGCGGUGAAAUGCGUAGAGAUCUGAAGGAACAUCAGUGGCGAAGGCGACUACCUGGACUGAUAUUGACGCUGAGGUGCGAAAGCGUGGGGAGCAAACGGGAUUAGAUACCCUAGUAGUCC
rnacentral:rRNA from 1 species